AACCGGAUUAGAUACCCUGGUAGUCCACGCCCUAAACGAUGUCGACUGGUUGUUGGGGGUUUGACACUCUCAGUAACGAAGCUAACGCGUGAAGUCGACCGCCUGGGGAGUACGGCCGCAAGGUUAAAACUCAAAGGAAUUGACGGGGACCCGCACAAGCGGUGGAUUAUGUGGAUUAAUUCGAUGCAACGCGAAAAACCUUACCUACCCUUGACAUGUCCUGAAUCCCGCAGAGAUGUGGGAGUGCCCGAAAGGGAACGGGAACACAGGUGCUGCAUGGCUGUCGUCAGCUCGUGCCGUGAGGUGUUGGGUUAAGUCCCGCAACGAGCGCAACCCCCAUCACUAGUUGCCAUCAGGUAACGCUGGGAACUCUAGUGAAACUGCCGUCGUAAGACGUGAGGAAGGAGGGGAUGAUGUCAAGUCAUCAUGGCCUUUAUGCCCAGGGCUACACACGUGCUACAAUGGGGCGUACAAAGGGCUGCAACAUAGCGAUAUGAAGCUAAUCCCAAAAAACGCCUCUCAGUUCA
rnacentral:rRNA from 1 species